CAUUUUGUAUCUCGUCUGGUUAUUUUUGUUUUAGGUUGGGUUGAGUUCCCUUGUCCGUCGGUUGUCUAGGUUUUCAUUGUCGUUGACAUAUUAUCUGUGCUGGAAGGUGUGUAUGGCUUCCGAUCUGUGCAUCGAAAAGAACGAUUCCAAAUGGGAGAUUAGAGAUUCACCGGCAAAGAAGCAAAGGUGCGAGGAUUACGGUUCACCACCACCGCUUUGUUCGUCAGCAGAAGAAGAAAAAGAAAAAGAAAAAGAAAAAGAAGACCCUAGAUCAAAAGUUGUAUUCUAUAACUACGAUGAUUCAGAUGUGGAAGAUGACAGUGAUGGAAGGCAUGAGUUUACUGAUAGGGAAUACCAAGAAUAUAAUCGACAGAUCACUGAAAGCGAUGGCUUUGAUGUGAUGUCGUUCCCACGCUCCUUUGCUUGCGGUACAACAGCCCCUCUUUAUAAUUUCGAUGACAUUGCCGACGACCUCAAAUCUUUUUCCGAAUUAGCUCUUAAGGAAUACAAUGAGAAAGAGCAUACGAAUUUGGAGUUUGUGAAGGUUGUCAAGGUCAACGUCGCUGGUGUUGCUGGUUUUUUGUAUUAUAUUACCCUUGAUGUCAGGGAUGCUGCUGCGGUUGAUGGCGGUACUAUGGAAUUUCAAGCUUGUGUCUGGGAUGGGAUUGCCCACACUGAAGUAGUCAUUUCUAGGCUGAAAUCUAGCACAUAAUCGAGGUAACAUUGGAAUUUGGACUUUUUUGUUGUUGGUGUAUGGCUGAAAUCAGGUGAGAUUGAAGAUUUCACCAAGGUAAUAUGCUUAUGGAGUCCCAGUCAGUUGUUGGAAGGGUGUGCUACUAUGAAACAAAAUGAAUAUAAUAUUAGAAUCUUUGUACAUGUGGUGGUGGUAGGGUUGUGUUGGUUAGGCUGUUGACGUCAAAAACGUUGGAUAUUGACAAUUAUGUUGUUACUUGAUUUAGAAUAUGUCUAGAUUAAUAUUCUAAGCUAAUAUCUAAACUAAUAUUUAUAAAACAAUGUCGUCAGAUGAUGUUUUGUUUGACAAGUGAAAUGUAUGACACAUAACAACUAGAGCAAAUUGCUUGUCCAAGUUGUUUUUUAACUUUAAACAUGUAAAAGAACCUAAGCCCAAAGCAUCCUAAACGAUGGAGUUGCCCCAUACGCAUGCUGUUGAAUUGGAAAGUGUGAGGUGUCUACAAAAGUUGUUUCUAUGUGAUGGAAGUCAAA